rnacentral:rRNA from 1 species
UGGGGAAUCUUGCGCAAUGCGCGAAAGCGUGACGCAGCAACGCCGCGUGGGGGAAGAAGGCCUUCGGGUCGUAAACCCCUUUCAGGAGGGACGAAGCCUCGGGAGUGAAUAGCUCUCCGGGGUGACGGUACCUCACGAAGAAGCCCCGGCUAACUACGUGCCAGCAGCCGCGGUAAUACGUAGGGGGCUAGCGUUGUCCGGAAUCAUUGGGCGUAAAGCGCGCGUAGGCGGCCAGAUAAGUCCGGUGUGAAAGUCAUAGGCUCAACCUAUGAAUGCCGCUGGAAACUGCCUGACUUGAGUCCGGAAGGGGCGAGUGGAAUUCCUGGUGUAGCGGUGAAAUGCGCAGAUAUCAGGAGGAACACCAAUGGCGAAGGCAGCUCGCUGGAACGGUACUGACGCUGAGGCGCGAAAGCGUGGGGAGCGAACAGGAUUAGAUACCCCCGUAGUCC